rnacentral:lncRNA from 1 species
AGAAUAAGAAAGCAGUGGAGGUUCAGGGGAGGUUAUGAGAAUUUGGAGAUAUGUUUUCCCUAGUUUUUCUUAAUUCCUUGUUCCUACUUCCAGUUCGUUAGAUAACUUAGUAAAUUUCCAUUGCAGUCUCAAUACUAAAUUAACCCUCUUGUAAGUCCAGUACCAAUUUUCAAAUUUAAAUAAAUAAUCUCUGCCCAUUUCGUUUGUGUUGUGGUUGAAGUCAGUUUUGUUUCCUUUAGCCCCUAUAACUGUUACACUUGGUAUCAAAGCAAGCCUUCCUUGGAUCUGUUUGUGGGUAGUCAGACAUGGCUGAUGGUACUAGAUGGAAGACUUUGGAUGAACGGCUCACUUCUCAGGACACGCGCAUUACUGAGAUGAAUGAGUUAAUCAAACAGAACGGGGAGAUUGUG